GUAGAAACCCAAACCAGUAGCGCGUGUUAGAUACUUACGGUGAAAUAUAAUAUAAUAUAAUUAUUAAGCUAAGUUAAAUCUUAUGCUAUUUCGUAAUUCUAAAAUAUUCUAAAGGAUUGCUAAAGAUUCCAUACCUAACCUAUCGAGUUGGACAGUGAACUGCAAAGCCUAGCGAGUGAAAAGGCCAAUGAUACUUUUAAAGCGGUCGAAUAUAAAUCCUGCUACGAAAAUCAGUGCGUUGCCUUUGUUUGCUGUCGCAACAAGCCGAAAAUGAUCAAAUACCACUUAAUAUGAGCGUUUCUUUAAUCAGAUUGACGCACGGAGGCCCGAAAUUGUUCCCAAAUGCCAUUUUGAAAUCCAAGAUGGCGACUUCCGGUGUCAGGAAAACAGCCUUAAGUGACCAAAUACCACCCAAUAUGAGUAUCUCUGAAACAAGAAUGAAGCUGAAAAUUGACCUCAGACACCAUGAUGAAUUGUAAGAAGGCAACUUCCGGUUUCCAAAAAACAGCCAAAAAUGGUCGAUUUCCAUACAAUAUGAGUAUCUUCGGAACCAGAAUGAUACACAGGAGCUAGAAUCGACCACAGACACCAUUUUGAAUUCGAAGAUGGUGACAUUCGGUUUCUGGAAAACAGCCGAAAAUGACCAAAUAACACCCAAUAUGGGUGUUUCUUAAACCAGAAUGACGCUCAGGGGCCAGAAAUUGUCUCCAAAUGCCAUUUUUAAAUCCAAGAUGGCGACCUACGGUUCUUGAAAAAUAGCCCAAAGUGACUUUGGUCACCCAAUAUGAGUAUCACCGGAGCCAUAAUGAUGCAAGGAGCCAUAAAUUGACCUUAGACAACAGUUUGAAUUGAAAAAUGGCAACUUCUGGGAAUCAGCCGAAAAUAACCGAAUACUACUACAUACGGAUAUGUCCGUAAUCGAAAUGAUAUAAAGAAGCCAAGCAUUGACCCUGGGCACCAUUUUGAA